rnacentral:rRNA from 1 species
GCGUUGUUCGGAAUUACUGGGCGUAAAGGGCUCGUAGGUGGCCAACUAAGUCAGACGUGAAAUCCCUCGGCUUAACCGGGGAACUGCGUCUGAUACUGGACGGCUUGAGUUCGGGAGGGGGAUGCGGAAUUCCAGGUGUAGCGGUGAAAUGCGUAGAUAUCUGGAGGAACACCGGUGGCGAAGGCGGCAUCCUGGACCGACACUGACACUGAGGAGCGAAAGCCAG